AGAGUUUGAUCCUGGCUCAGAAUCAACGCUGGCGGCGUGCCUCAGACAUGCAAGUCGAACGCGAAAGGCCCCUUCGGGGGCCGAGUAGAGUGGCGCACGGGUGAGUAACACGUAGGUAAUCUACCUCUGGGUGGGGAAUAACGACCGGAAACGGUCGCUAAUACCGCAUAAUGCAGCGGCACCACAUGGUGACAGUUGUUAAAGCGGGGGAUCGUAAGACCUCGCGCCUAGAGAUGAGCCUGCGGCGGAUUAGCUAGUUGGCAGGGUAACGGCCUACCAAGGCGACGAUCCGUAGCCGGCCUGAGAGGGCGGACGGCCACACUGGCACUGACAUACGGGCCAGACUCCUACGGGAGGCAGCAGUCGGGAAUUUUGGGCAAUGGGCGAAAGCCUGACCCAGCAACGCCGCGUGAAGGAUGAAGCUUUUCGGAGUGUAAACUUCAUAAGA
rnacentral:rRNA from 1 species